rnacentral:rRNA from 1 species
GACGUAGGGUCCAAGCGUUAUCCGGAUUUACUGGGCGUAAAGCGCGCGUAGGCGGUCUGUUAAGUGCACAAGUGAAAGCUCCGGGCUCAACUCGGAAAUUGCUUUGCAUACUGGCAGGCUGGAGGGACGCAGAGGUCUGUGGAAUUCCUGGUGUAACGGUGAAAUGUGUUGAUAUCAGGAGGAACACCCAUGGCGAAGGCAGCAGACUGGGCGUUUCCUGACGCUGAGGCGCGAAAGCGUGGGGAGCAAACAGG